rnacentral:rRNA from 1 species
CACGUAGGGCGCAAGCGUUGUCCGGAAUUAUUGGGCGUAAAGAGCUCGUAGGCGGUCUGUUGCGUCCGCUGUGAAAACUCGGGGCUUAACCCCGAGCCUGCAGUGGAUACGGGCAGACUAGAGGUAGGUAGGGGGAGAAUGGAAUUCCCGGUGUAGCGGUGAAAAUGCGCAGAUAUCGGGAGGAACACCGGUGGCGAAGGCGGUUCUCUGGGGAAUAU